rnacentral:rRNA from 1 species
AUUGAACGCUGGCGGCAUGCCUUACACAUGCAAGUCGAACGGCAGCACGGGAGCAAUCCUGGUGGCGAGUGGCGAACGGGUGAGUAAUAUAUCGGAACGUGCCCAGUCGUGGGGAUAACGUAGCGAAAGUUACGCUAAUACCGCAUACGAUCUAAGGAUGAAAGCGGGGAUCGCAAGACCUCGCGCGAUUGGAGCGGCCGAUAUCAGAUUAGGUAGUUGGUGAGGUAAAGGCUCACCAAGCCGACGAUCUGUAGCUGGUCUGAGAGGACGACCAGCCACACUGGACUGAGAC